rnacentral:misc_RNA from 1 species
UUUUUUUUUUUAAUACCAUAGACAGUUUGAGACUGCUGCUGGCUGUCUGCAGAAAACGAAAAAGGCUGAAAAAAUAUUUUAGUUUUAUUAUUCAGGAAGCGUGCCAUAAUGUUAUGUUAAAGAUUAAGACUAUCAGAACUGGAAAUGGCUUUCGUGGAGAAUAUUCCACCGCUUCACGCGGACUCUGAGAUGGAAGAAGGCGAAAUCGUGGAUGAUUUAUCAGAUAUUUCAUCAGAGGAAGAGUUUCUGUUGCGUCAGAGACUGCAAGUACUAGAAAAUUACAACAAUGUCCUUGAACGUAAGAAAGCUAAACGAUCUUCCAUAGGGCCAGGUAACAAACAUAGAAAGGAUGAUGCAUUAUUAGACUUAUCAGAAAUAUCAGCGACUGAACUAGAAGACUAUUAUUCUCAUGCACCACAAAAACCUAAAGUUCAAAAACGUCAAAAGAUACAUCAUAGACAAAAAAGAAAAAAAGUUGAGCCAAUUUUAACUUCCAUAAAGACUAGAGAAUACAAGAGAAAAAAUCAUUACACCAAAAAGAAAUUAGAAGUAAAAAUUAUUAGUGAAUCAAGUGAGGAAUCUGAAGAUGAAUACAGAAAUAGACGAAGAAAGUUGGCUAAUGCCGUAGUAGUAAACAAAAAUCCAAGCAAAAAUGACAAAACAUCAUUGAGUGAAAGACUUCAAAAAAUGCUUAGUGGUGUCAAUCCAGAACCAAUGAAGGUCAUCCCAGCAGAAAAAACGGUAAAUAACAAAAAUGGCACCAUUUUAGAACAAACCGAAUUAUCACCCAUCUCCACACUAGAUGCUGAAGAGCAAAACCAAGAAAAAACAAGUUCAUGUGAAUUAAUAGACCUAUGUACUGAUGAAGAUAGCAAAACUAUGACAACAAUUUUACCACAGGAUACUGUAGAUUCGGUUAAUAAAGACAUUAAAAACAAUGAGGAUGCAAAGAAAGAAUCUGAUAGGGAAAACAUUUCAGAAAAAGAUUCUGAUGAAGAUCUAGAAAUGCUUCGGCAACAUGCACUCAAAACUAAAACUGCCAAAGCAAAUUCAGUUCCAAAUGAAGUACAACCUGAAAACAAAAUGUCUGAGGAUGAAGAUAGUGAUACUGCAGAACUGAGAUUGAUCUGUCUUAAAUCUGCACUACUUAAGAAAGCUAUUGAAAGGAAACAAAAGCAAAAAUUGAAAAAGAAGUUAUCCCAAUCCCAAUCAACCAACUUUCCAGAUGACUUACUUAAUUCAAAUAACAAUACAGAUAUAGAAUCUGUAGAUAUGGAUAUUGGGUCAGAUGCUGAUGACAAACCCAAAGAAGAUAAUGAUGGAAGUGCCAAAAUUAAUGUUAUAGAAGAAAAUAGCACGCCAGAGGCAACAAAAGCUUUAGAAAAAGACAUUCCUAAACAAAAGGUUCCUGAUGCAGAUGAACUUGAAGAUGAUGAAGACUUGUUGCGUGCUAAACUGCUGACUUCCCUUAGCAAAAAUCUACCUAAUCUGGUAAAUCCUAAUAUAAUUGAUGCUUUAGAGAGCAUUCAAGAACCAAGACCUAUUUCACCUAAGCCACCCCAAAUAAAACCUGUUGUACCUGCUGUUGUAGUACCUGAAGAAAAGAGAUUUAUUAUUACUGUUGGUGAGUCUGAUUCAGAGGGUGAACAUGAAGCUACUAAGAAUUUAACUAAAAUGCAUAUGAAACUAUCAGAGCAGAUAGACUUCCAGCAGAGACUAGAUGUAUUUUUGAAAAGUACUAGAAUGGAAGUCGAGAAGACUAGGUUGCCAGACGUCGUUCAGCAACCAGCUCCCGUGAAGAAAAAUGAGAAGUUUGUUGCUAAGGCUGUUAAACAUUUGCCAAAGUCGGAGCAAAUUGAGUACAAAAAUCUCGUGAAAAGAAUGGCAGAGUUAGAAAAGAUAAAACAAGCUAGGCAGACAACAAUCAAUCUAAGCAAUAAAGUUUCUGUACCAAACAAAGAUACGUUAAAACCACGAAAUACAGCUAUUGAUGCAACAAAGCUGUCUGCUAUAAAUAACUUGGAAGAAAAGAUACAAAAUUCAAGAAAACACAUAGCGGAGGAAUCUGCCAAGAUGUUAAAGUUAAAAGAGGAAGGUGUAAAAUUAUCCCAAAGAUAUAAAAUAGUAGCUACAGAACUUCGUAAUAUCAAGACUGCCAUUACAUUGAACAAGAGACAAACAAGAUCUGUGCAAAAUUGUUUAACCAAAAUACGAUUGCACCAUCAAAUGUUAUUGAAAAGCUCAAUGUCUUCCGCACAUUCCAAAAUCAACGGCAAUUUGCCUCCACUAAAUAGGAUAAAUACGAAAUUGCAAAAAGAGAAUAAUCCUAUGAAAGAAGAUCAGAAAACAACUAUAGUCAACAAAAAUAUUAAAAUUAUUUCAAAAGAAAACAAUUUAGGUAAAGAGGAACCUAAAAACGUGGUACAUAAACCUGUUAAAGAUAGUAAUCCAAGUACAGAAGAAAUUAAGAAUUCUUUAGUAAAUAAACCUACAAUAGAGACCAAUCCUCUAAGAGAAGAAAUUGGGGAUCCUGUAGUACAUAAACCAAUUAAAGAUCCCAGUCUGGUGAAAGAACCUGCUAAUCCAGCAAGGAUAGUAAAGGUAGUUAAACCACCAGUCGUAAUGCAACAGUCUAAACUAUCUGUGCAGCUUGAUGUUACUAGUAAUAAAAAAGUUAUUACAGUGACGGACUGUAAAACUGAUGUGCAUAGUACCACGUUGUUUGUGGAUAACAAAAAUAUCAAUGAGGAUUUAAUCGAAAACCAGAGGCUAUCAAGUCAUCCACUCGUGGAAAAAGGUGGAGGGAAUAAAGAAAUAACAACUGAUUUUAGAAGACUUGAGAAUGAUGAUUACAGAUCACCUUUAGACGCUUUUGGGAGUUCAACUUGGGAGGGCGACCCGAACGCGAUCCUCUGCCCCUUCGAAGUCGGCGGCGACUGCAAGGACGCCGACUGCAUUUACCUCCACACCCCAUCCCGGUCUACCUGACACCCCACCUCACUUGCACAGUUCCGCCUAGACACAGUUACACUAAAAUGAGCUAUCCUAUCCCAUCCCCACUCCCAGAGAAGGCACAGGAUUCUACAACGAUGUGUAAAUUGGCGAGAGCUCGUGUUCCUGCGUCUCUUCGGCAAUGGUGGUAAGUUUCGAGUAACUUUAUAAUAGUGCAUUUGUAGUGCUCUGGACACGUUACAAGUUUACAACACUACGGGACCCCCAAGCUCUGGUAAAGUGUUUUGUGUUACGUUCAAUAUAUCAACUUUAUACAUACUAUUAUUUUUUUCUAUAUUAUUGAUUUUAAAAACAUUGUACACAUGUAAAAAGUUAUUAAUAAAUGAUAAUAUUUAAAAUAUUGUA